rnacentral:rRNA from 1 species
AUUGAACGCUGUCGGCAGGCUUAACACAUGCAAGUCGAGCGAGCGGCGGACGGGUGAGUAAUGUCUGGGAAACUGCCUGAUGGAGGGGGAUAACUACUGGAAACGGUAGCUAAUACCGCAUACCAUCAGAUGUGCCCAGAUGGGAUUAGCUAGUAGGUGGGGUAAUGGUUCACCUAGGCGACGAUCCCUAGCGAAUCUGAGAGGAUGACCAUCCACACUGUAACUGAGCAACGGUACAGACUCCGACGGGAGGCAGAAGUGGGGAAUAUUGCACAAUGGGCGCAAGCCUGAUGCAGCCAUGCCGCGUGUGUGAAGAAGGCCUUCGGGGUGUAAAGCACUUUCAGCGAGGAGGCGUUACUCGCAGAAGAAGCACCGGCUAACUCCGUGCCAGCAGCCGCGGUAAUUC